rnacentral:rRNA from 1 species
UACGUAGGGGGCAAGCGUUGUCCGGAUUCAUUGGGCGUAAAGGGCGCGUAGGCGGUCCUGUAAGUCUUGUGUGAAAUCCCUCGGCUUAACUGAGGAACUGCACGAGAUACUGCGAGACUUGAGUUCGGGAGAGGAAAGCGGAAUUCCGGGUGUAGCGGUGAAAUGCGUAGAUAUCCGGAGGAACACCGGUGGCGAAGGCGGCUUUCUGGACCGACACUGACGCUGAGGCGCGAAAGCUAGGGGAGCAAACGGG